rnacentral:rRNA from 1 species
CAGCCGCCGCGGUAAUACCGGCGGCCCGAGUGGCGGUCACUAUUAUUGGGCUUAAAACGUCCGUAGCCGGGUUGGGAAGUCCUCCGGGAAAUCUGGCCGCUUAACGGUCAGAAUGCCGGAGGAUACUCCCAGCCUAGGGAGCGGGAGAGGCCGAGGGGAUUCCCGGGGUAGGGGGGAAAUCCUAUAAUCCCGGGAGGACCACCUGUGGCGAAGGCGCUCGGCUGGAACGCGUCCGACGGUGAGGGACGAAGGCCAGGGGAGCAAACCGGAUUAGAUACCCGGGUAGUCCUGGCUGUAAACGAUGCGGACUUUGUGUCGGACAAGCUAUGAGCUUGUCCGGUGCCGGAGGGAAACCGUUAAGUCCGCCGCCUGGGGAGUACGGCCGCAAGGCUGAAACUUAAAGGAAUUGGCGGG